CGGCUCCGAAUGUGGAGGUUUGAGCGCGUUCUUGAAUCGGAAUAUAGGCUUCGGAGCAAGGUAAGUCUCCUUUCUAACCUUGUAAGAGGAAAUUAUCCCCAUAGGUGAUUCAAUUGGUUAUGUGCUCCUAUUUGUGGGGGCUACGUACGUACAAGGUGACGAGAGUCCGUGAGUAGCUACUAUUAUGGUAUUGUCCGGAUAGUCUAGGACCAAAAAGUAUGAUGUACUU
rnacentral:lncRNA from 1 species